UUUUUUUUUUUUUAACCUCAAUAGAGACACCAUCUCAAGGCAAUAAGGUAGAGAAUGAUAGAGGAAGAUAGCCAAUGUCCUGCUCUGGCCUCUACAUAUUUAACGCACAAUGCUCAGGUCCAUGUACCACAUACAGAUACAAGUUCAAAAUCAGCUUAGGCUACACAGUGACACCUUGCAGCAUGCAGAGAAGAAAAAGGCUACACCAGGAAAGGAGUGGAGGUGCGUUCUUGCAGUCUGAGUACUUGGGAGGGUGAUCUAGAAGGAGCAUAGUGUUUAGCCAUAGCAGCCACAUAGAAAGUUUUAGAGCUAUGUUGGAGAAUGCAGAAGUAGUAAUAUUAUAAAGAAGAGUACCACACAAGGCGAGAGAAACACAGUCUUUUUGGGAUGCAGUUACAGUUACAUUGACAGUAAAUAAACGGCACCAGGGCUGGAGAGAUUGCUCAGUGGUUAAGAACAUUCUUUGUUCCUGUAGAGGCCCAGAUUUGAUUCCUAGCACCCACUUGGUGGCCACAGUCAGCUGCAGCAUCAGUUCUGGAGGAUUUGAUGCCCUCUUGUGAGCUCUGUGGGUACCAAGCAUGCUCGCAGUGCACACAGAUAAAGGCAAGACACUCACACAUAAAAUGAAUAAAUCUAAAAACAAAACAAAGCAAAAAUAAAAAAACCCUUAAAACAAUAACAGCGUUCUGCUCUGGGCUUUUGUUUGUUUUGGGGUGUGGUGGUGGAGUAAGGUUAAGGAGUUAGCUAAAUUACAUCUAACACAGUUUCUAGAUUUUCCUUUGUUAACUUUAAAACAUUGAGUCUGGCUAUAGUUGUGGAAAUGUUUUGUGCAUAUUUGAUAUCUCAGAAACAUAAGGUAAUUAAGAAUAACUCGUGCAACUCUGUGACUAUAUUGGCAUGGGAGAUAGGCUCUGUGUUUCCUGUUACUGUUUCCGUUUAGUUAGGGAGGGUCUAACGUGUUAUAAACUUCCCAGCAGUCUGGAUUUGAGAACUUGGUAUUGAGUAGACACUUGUUGUCCAUCCAUUACUACUAGACAUGUGGCGAGAUGCUGGAGCCAGAACACUAAGUCUAUGUCUGUCUCUGUCCUGGUGAGUGUUGUGACAGUGAGAGCAGACAGCAGCCAAGAUCCUGAGUGUGAUGCUAAGUGCUGUUCUGCAUGUGCCAUGGCCAGGCCACAGUCUCCUCCCUACCAAAGACCAUGUUUGUUUUGCUUUCUAUGGUACUUUUCUCUAUAAUUUUAUUACUUACUUUUGUAUCCUACCAGAGAUCUCUAAAACUUUACAUGUGGCUACUUUGGCAAAGUCCUCCUAUAUCAGCCUCCCAAGUGCUUGGAUUGCAGGCAGGCUCCUCCACUCCUAACUUGUGUAGCCAGUGUUCUCCACACGCAGCAAGGUGUCACUAUGUAGUCCAGGCUGAUUUUGAACUCAGUUCCUCUUCCUCAGCAUCCUGGGUGCAGGGGUUACAAGGCUGUGCCACUGAAUCUAGCUUACCUCCAUGGUUUUCUAUUGUAGGAAGGCUUGCCUUAUUUAUUGACUUUGAGGGGGAAAAAAGUAGUUUAAGUUGUGGUUUUGUACUUGUUGAAUAUUGUGCAAAAAGUGACAAAUUUUCCUGUUACUUGAGUUUUAACAGUUGUAUGAAAGUCACUUUUGGUUAGUUUUAAUCUGGAGAAUAAUUCAACUCUUAAGAGUUAAGAUUAACUCUUAAACCCAUAAUGGGCAUUCCUUACUUUACUCUGAUAAGACUAUGGAAAUCUCCAAUUAACAGAAAUACAUGUUAUAUGCAAAAACAGAGAAAAACAAAGCUGUCUUUUAAAAUAGAAUGUACAUCUUUUUCAGUAUUAUCUUAGAAAAGGAGUUUCGAAGGCUUAUUUACGGAUUUUUUUUAUUGUAUUGGAGUACUUAAGCAAAAAUAUACUGUACCAAUGCUGUCUUGCUUAUAAUAUUGGAAAUGAGUGGGCAAAGACAGUAGAUUCUGCAUGUAUGCUGAGUGCUGACUCACAGAUCCUGAGCUUAGUGUUUCAUAGAUGUGCUAUUUGUUUUUAUUUUUUAAGGAUUUAUUUAUUUUAUUUAUAUGCAUAUACUGUAGCUGUCUUCAGACACACCAGAAGAAGGCAUCUGAUCCCAUUACAGAUGGCUGUGAGCCACCAUGUGGUGGCUGGGAAUUGAACUCAGGACCUCUGGAAGAAUAGUUAGUGUGCUUAACUAUUGAGCCAUCUCUCCAGCCCAUGCUGUAUGAUCCUUAUUCUUACUCUCUUUUACAGUGAAGGCUCCAGGGUUAAUACAUUUGCUGUGGCUACAUCUGAUUAUUACUCAAAAUAUGUGUACAUUUAAAUAUUCUUGUAUUCUAAAUGAGCGUCAGAUGACUAUGCUGUAUGUUGGGUGAGUCUAAGACUGGACAAGUAGCGUGAGUCGGGAAAGCUGGAAGCAAGCUGCAGUGAAGCUGCCCUAGCCCCAGCUGGUCUUCUCCUGGGUUAGGAGAGCCAGAUUUUCCAGUUUUUCAAAACCAGUUGUAAUUUUGUUAUAUUGACAAGUACCUUGACCUUAAACUAGAAAGCUCAAUUAAUUUUGCUUAAACCUUCUUAUUGUAAAACUUAGUAUUAAUGUGUAAAAGUGCAUAAAGAAAAUAUACAUAAGGUGAAUAUGCAUGUAAACACAACAUACCUAUUACCAGGACAGAUUCUGUACAGAUAAGGCAUUUAAAAAAACAGUCAUUGAAUAGCUGUAAGGAUCUUUGAGUUUCUGCGUUUAGAGUCUAGGUUUUGAAUUUUGGGGGAUCUGUCUACCGUUAGCUGCUGUUUCACCUAUUUAAAAGGGAACAGGAGUAGAAAAUGCAAAUAGUAUCCAGCUUAGGUAGUUGUAUAUGAAUAGAACCAAGUACACAGUAAGUCACAUUGGCAUAUCUUUUUUGUUUUUUUUUUUUUUUUUUUUGAGACAGGGUUUCUCUGUAUAGCCCUGGCUGUCCUGGAACUCACUUUGUAGACCAGACUGGCCUCGAACUCAGAAAUCUGCCUGCCUCCGCCUCCUGAGUGCUGGCAUUAAAGGUGUGUGCCACCACGCCCGGCCUACAUAUCUUUUUUAAAACAUUGUAAAUGAAAACAUUGUAAUUUCCAUUUUAAUAUUGGAAAAGGGCAUAUAGGGAUGUUGUUUGAGCUUAUUUCUGUACGGAGUUCAGUCUGUAGAUAGGUAGAUUCAACAGCAGGUUACUUUCUCGUUUCAGAGACAGUACUUGGGCUCUUCAGAUCCUUAGGAAAACUGUCUUACGUUAGCUUUAAAUCAGUCCUGGUUUGAUGGAUUAGGCAAUAAAGACUUUAAAGUACAUUACAAAUCCAGUGUUACAGACUCAGUUUGGAUAUACACCUUAGUGGUGAAUGAGUCUUUCAGAUCACUUCACCAAUGUAGCAUGCAUACAUACUAAUUCUCUUUGGAGUUCUAUAGUAGCUUUCUAAAGAAUAUCUUAGCCCCUGUUUUUCU
rnacentral:lncRNA from 1 species